GAUGAACGCUGGCGGCGUGCCUAAUACAUGCAAGUCGAGCGAACAGAUGAGGAGCUUGCUCCUCUGACGUUAGCGGCGGACGGGUGAGUAACACGUGGAUAACCUACCUAUAAGACUGGGAUAACUUCGGGAAACCGGAGCUAAUACCGGAUAAUAUAUUGAACCGCAUGGUUCAAUAGUGAAAGACGGUUUUGCUGUCACUUAUAGAUGGAUCCGCGCCGCAUUAGCUAGUUGGUAAGGUAACGGCUUACCAAGGCAACGAUGCGUAGCCGACCUGAGAGGGUGAUCGGCCACACUGGAACUGAGACACGGUCCAGACUCCUACGGGAGGCAGCAGUAGGGAAUCUUCCGAAAAGGGCGAAAGCCUGACGGAGCAACGCCGCGUGAGUGAUGAAGGUCUUCGGAUCGUAAAACUCUGUUAUUAGGGAAGAACAAAUGUGUAAGUAACCAUGCACGUCUUGACGGUACCUAAUCAGAAAGCCACGGCUAACUACGUG
rnacentral:rRNA from 1 species